GGGAGGCAGCAGUGAGGAAUAUUGGUCAAUGGACGAGAGUCUGAACCAGCCAAGUAGCGUGAAGGAUGAAGGUUUAUGGAUUGUAAACUUCUUUUAUACGGGAAUAACGAAUCCACGCGUGGAUUUUUGCAUGUACCGUAUGAAUAAGGAUCGGCUAACUCCGUGCCAGCAGCCGCGGUAAUACGGAGGAUCCGAGCGUUAUCCGGAUUUAUUGGGUUUAAAGGGAGCGUAGAUGGGUUGUUAAGCCAGUUGUGAAAGUUUGCGGCUCAACCGUAAAAUUGCAAUUGAUACUGGCAGUCUUGAGUACAGUUGAGGUAGGCGGAAUUCGUGGUGUAGCGGUGAAAUGCUUAGAUAUCACGAAGAACUCCGAUUGCGAAGGCAGCUUACUAACCUGUAACUGACAUUGAUGCUCGAAAGUGUGGGUAUCAAACAGGAUUAGAUACCCUGGUAGUCCACACGGUAAACGAUGAAUACUCGCUGUAGGCGAUAUAGGUCUGCGGCCAAGCGAAAGCAUUAAGUAU
rnacentral:rRNA from 1 species